GGCGGAGGUUGCAGUGAGCUGAGACUACGCCACUGCAUUCCAGCCUGGACAACAGAGGGAGACUCUGUUUCUAAAAAAAGUAAAAAAUAAAAGUGACUAACCAAUCUCCCCCUCAUUCUAGAUGUAUAUAGCUCUGUCUUCAGUCCAUGCUCUGAUCCUUUGUGGAUUUCAGUUCAUCUCCUGUGUCCGAGGGCAGUGGACUGAAUGCAGUGAUUUUUCACCUCCGAUAACUGUAAUCCUGUUGAUCUUCCUGUGCCUUGAGGGUCUUCUGUUUUUCACUUUCACUGCAGUUAUGUUUGGCACCCAAAUCCACUCCAUAUGCAAUGACGAGACGGAGAUCGAGCGAUUGAAAAGUGAGAAGCCCACAUGGGAGCGGAGGCUGCGAUGGGAAGGGAUGAAGUCCGUCUUUGGGGGGCCCCCCUCACUCCUCUGGAUGAAUCCCUUUGUGGGCUUCCGAUUUAGGCGACUGCCCACGAGACCCAGAAAAGGCGGCCCGGAGUUCUCAGUGUGAGGCGUGGCUCAUCAGACUGAAACUUGCUCACAGACUUCCAGUUAUUUAUUUGGGGUCUGAAGGGUAUCAACAGCUCAUCUGUGACCAACAGGGCAAC
rnacentral:sRNA from 1 species